rnacentral:tRNA from 1 species
GCCGCUGUAGCUCAGCGGAUAGAGCAGCCCUUUGACUCAGGAGCAUGUCGUAGGUUCGAAUCCUAUCAGCGGCU